AUGCGUUGUUGGGUAGGGGAGCGUUCUGUAAGCCUGCGAAGGUGUGCUGUGAGGCAUGCUGGAGGUAUCAGAAGUGCGAAUGCUGACAUAAGUAACGAUAAAGCGGGUGAAAAGCCCGCUCGCCGGAAGACCAAGGGUUCCUGUCCAACGUUAAUCGGGGCAGGGUGAGUCGACCCCUAAGGCGAGGCCGAAAGGCGUAGUCGAUGGGAAACAGGUUAAUAUUCCUGUACUUGGUGUUACUGCGAAGGGGGGACGGAGAAGGCUAUGUUGGCCGGGCGACGGUUGUCCCGGUUUAAGCGUGUAGGCUGGUUUUCCAGGCAAAUCCGGAAAAUCAAGGCUGAGGCGUGAUGACGAGGCACUACGGUGCUGAAGCAACAAAUGCCCUGCUUCCAGGAAAAGCCUCUAAGCAUCAGGUAACAUCAAAUCGUACCCCAAACCGACACAGGUGGUCAGGUAGAGAAUACCAAGGCGCUUGAGAGAACUCGGGUGAAGGAACUAGGCAAAAUGGUGCCGUAACUUCGGGAGAAGGCACGCUGAUAUGUAGGUGAAGUCCCUCGCGGAUGGAGCUGAAAUCAGUCGAAGAUACCAGCUGGCUGCAACUGUUUAUUAAAAACACAGCACUGUGCAAACACGAAAGUGGACGUAUACGGUGUGACGCCUGCCCGGUGCCGGAAGGUUAAUUGAUGGGGUUAGCGCAAGCGAAGCUCUUGAUCGAAGCCCCGGUAAACGGCGGCCGUAACUAUAACGGUCCUAAGGUAGCGAAAUUCCUUGUCGGGUAAGUUCCGACCUGCACGAAUGGCGUAAUGAUGGCCAGGCUGUCUCCACCCGAGACUCAGUGAAAUUGAACUCGCUGUGAAGAUGCAGUGUACCCGCGGCAAGACGGAAAGACCCCGUGAACCUUUACUAUAGCUUGACACUGAACAUUGAGCCUUGAUGUGUAGGAUAGGUGGGAGGCUUUGAAGUGUGGACGCCAGUCUGCAUGGAGCCGACCUUGAAAUACCACCCUUUAAUGUUUGAUGUUCUAACGUUGACCCGUAAUCCGGGUUGCGGACAGUGUCUGGUGGGUAGUUUGACUGGGGCGGUCUCCUCCUAAAGAGUAACGGAGGAGCACGAAGGUUGGCUAAUCCUGGUCGGACAUCAGGAGGUUAGUGCAAUGGCAUAAGCCAGCUUGACUGCGAGCGUGACGGCGCGAGCAGGUGCGAAAGCAGGUCAUAGUGAUCCGGUGGUUCUGAAUGGAAGGGCCAUCGCUCAACGGAUAAAAGGUACUCCGGGGAUAACAGGCUGAUACCGCCCAAGAGUUCAUAUCGACGGCGGUGUUUGGCACCUCGAUGUCGGCUCAUCACAUCCUGGGGCUGAAGUAGGUCCCAAGGGUAUGGCUGUUCGCCAUUUAAAGUGGUACGCGAGCUGGGUUUAGAACGUCGUGAGACAGUUCGGUCCCUAUCUGCCGUGGGCGCUGGAGAACUGAGGGGGGCUGCUCCUAGUACGAGAGGACCGGAGUGGACGCAUCACUGGUGUUCGGGUUGUCAUGCCAAUGGCACUGCCCGGUAGCUAAAUGCGGAAGAGAUAAGUGCUGAAAGCAUCUAAGCACGAAACUUGCCCCGAGAUGAGUUCUCCCUGACUCCUUGAGAGUCCUGAAGGAACGUUGAAGACGACGACGUUGAUAGGCCGGGUGUGUAAGCGCAGCGAUGCGUUGAGCUAACCGGUACUAAUGAACCGUGAGGCUUAACCUU
rnacentral:rRNA from 1 species